ACGUAUACUGAAUGUAUCCU
rnacentral:miRNA from 7 species